rnacentral:rRNA from 1 species
GAUGAACGCUAGCGGCAGGCCUAACACAUGCAAGUCGAGGGGUAGAACACUUCGGUGUUUGAGACCGGCGCACGGGUGCGUAACGCGUAUGCAAUCUGCCUUACACUAAGGGAUGGCCCAGAGAAAUUUGGAUUAAUACCUUAUAGUAUAUUGAUGUGGCAUCACAUUAUUAUUAAAGAUUUAUUGGUUUAAGAUGAGCAUGCGUCCCAUUAGCUAGUUGGUAUGGUAACGGCAUACCAAGGCUAGGAUGGGUAGGGGUCCUGAGAGGGAGAUCCCCCACACUGGUACUGAGACACGGACCAGACUCCUACGGGAGGCAGCAGUGAGGAAUAUUGGUCAAUGGGCGCAAGCCUGAACCAGCCAUGCCGCGUGCAGGAUGAAGCAUCUAUGGUGUGUAAACUGCUUUUGUACGGGAAGAAACACCUCUACGUGUAGAGGCUUGACGGUACCGUAAGAAUAAGGAUCGGCUAACUCCGUGCCAGCCGCCGCCGUAA